rnacentral:rRNA from 1 species
GCCUACGGGACGCAGCAGUGAGGAAUAUUGGUCAAUGGUCGGGAGACUGAACCAGCCAAGCCGCGUGAGGGAUGAAGGUACAGAGUAUCGUAAACCUCUUUUGUCAGGGAACAAAGGCGGGGACGUGUCCCCGGAUGAGUGUACCUGAAGAAAAAGCAUCGGCUAACUCCGUGCCAGCAGCCGCGGUAAUACGGAGGAUGCGAGCAUUAUCCGGAUUUAUUGGGUUUAAAGGGUGCGCAGGCGGUCUGGUAAGUCAGCGGUCAAAGGCCGGGGCUCAACCCCGGCCCGCCGUUGAAACUGGCAGG